rnacentral:rRNA from 1 species
AGCAGCCGCGGUAAUUCCAGCUCCAAUAGCGUAUAUUAAAGUUGUUGCAGUUAAAAAGCUCGUAGUUGAAUUUCGGGGUCAGUAGGUCGGUCGUGCCACUGGUAUGAACUGGUUUUACUGAUUCCUCCCUCUUGAAGAACUGUAAUGCCAUUAAUUUGGUGUUGCAGGGAAUCAGGACUGUUACUUUGAAAAAAUUAGAGUGUUUAAAGCAGGCUUUAGCUUGAAUACAUUAGCAUGGAAUAAUGAAAUAGGACGUUUGAUCCUAUUUUGUUGGUUUCUAGGAUUGACGUAAUGAUUAAUAGGGAUAGUUGGGGGCAUUAGUAUUCAAUUGUCAGAGGUGAAAUUCUUGGAUUUAUUGAAGACUAACUACUGCGAAAGCAUUUGCCAAGGAUGUUUUCAUUAAUCAAGAACGAAAGUUAGGGGAUCGAAGACGAUCAGAUACCGUCGUAGUCUUAACCAUAAACUAUGCCGACUAGGGAUAGGGUGAUGUUAAUUUUUUAAUGACUCA